AGUCAAUGCAAAACUCAGAUAUCUUCCACCUCUACUUAUCUGACUGCAGAGAGGAGGACAGAGAACAGUGGACACACAGUUUAACAUGAUGGACUAUAGGACAGGACUGCUGCUUUUUACUAUCUGCUGGGCAGGUGUUGAUGGUCAGACUCUCACUGAGUCUGAACCUGUGAUCAGAAGGCCUGGAGAAUCUCACAGACUGACCUGUACAGCCGCUGGAUUUGACUUAAGUAGCUAUUGGAUGGCCUGGAUCAGACAGGCUCCUGGAAAAGGACUGGAGUGGAUCGCUCAAAGUAGCAGUGGUGGUGUCAGCAAUUAUUACUCUCAGUCAGUUCAAGGCCAGUUCACCAUCUCCAGAGACAACAGCAGACAGCAGGUGUAUCUGCAGAUGUACACUCUGAAGAAUGAAGAUUCUGCUGUUUAUUAUUGUGCUCGAGAGCCACAGUGACUGGAGGUGGUUGAGCAGCUGUACAAAAACCUACAGUGCACUUCUUCUUUCAGGCUGUUAGAGCCGAAGCAUUAAGUAUUUUUUUUGUAUUUCUAUGAAAUGUAAUGCUGUAUUUUCUGUAUAAUGUUAUAUCUAAUGGUUUAUAUUUUAUGUUUUACAUUACAAAUAUGUCAUAAAUAAUAAAUUAAUCUCUGCACCU